rnacentral:rRNA from 1 species
AUGCACGCUAGCUACAGGCUUAACACAUGCCAGUCGAGGGGAAACGACAUCGAAAGCUUGCUUUUGAUGGGCGUCGACCGGCGCACGGGUGAGUAACGCGUAUCCAACCUGCCCAUCACUUGGGAAUAACCUUGCGAAAGUAAGACUAAUACCCAAUGACAUCCCACGAAGACAUCUGAAUGGGCUUACAGAUUUAUCGGUGAUGGAUGGGGAUGCGUCUGAUUAGCUUGUUGGCGGGGUAACGGCCCACCAAGGCAACGAUCAGUAGGGGUUCUGAGAGGAAGGUCCCCCACAUUGGAACUGAGACACGGUCCAAACUCCUACGGGAGGCAGCAGUGAGGAAUAUUGGUCAAUGGGCGAGAGCCUGAACCAGCCAAGUAGCGUGCAGGAUGACGGCCCUAUGGGUUGUAAACUGCUUUUAUAAGGGAAUAAAGUGGGUCUCGUGAGACUUUUUGCAUGUACCUUAUGAAUAAGGACCGGCUAAUUCCGUG